GACUACUGGGGUAUCUAAUCCUGUUUGCUCCCCACGCUUUCGUAUCUCAGCGUCAGUUACAGUCCAGAAAGUCGCCUUCGCCACUGGUGUUCUUCCUAAUCUCUACGCAUUUCACCGCUACACUAGGAAUUCCACUUUCCUCUCCUGCACUCUAGACACCCAGUAUCAAAUGCAGCUCCCAGGUUAAGCCUGGGGAUUUCACAUCUGACUUAAAUAUCCGCCUACAUACUCUUUACGCCCAGUAAAUCCGGACAACGCUUGCCACCUACGUAUUACCGCGGCUGCUGGCACGUAGUUAGCCGUGGCUUCCUCCUUUGGUACCGUCAUUAUCGUCCCAAAAGACAGAGCUUUACAAUCCGAAGACCUUCAUCGCUCACGCGGCGUUGCUGCGUCAGGGUUUCCCCCAUUGCGCAAUAUUCCCCACUGCAGCCCCCCGUAGG
rnacentral:rRNA from 1 species